rnacentral:rRNA from 1 species
UUUGUCCUACGGGGGGCAGCAGUGGGGGAUAUUGGACAAUGGGGGAAACCCUGAUGCAGCAACGCCGCGUGAGUGAAGAAGUAUUUCGGUAUGUAAAGCUCUAUCAGCAGGGAAGAAGAUGACGGUACCUGAUUAAGAAGCCCCGGCUAACUACGUGCCAGCAGCCGCGGUAAUACGUAGGGGGCAAGCGUUAUCCGGAAUUACUGGGUGCAAAGGGAGCGUAGACGGUUAAGUAAGUCUGGAGUGAAAGGCCGGGGCCCAACCCCGGGACUGCUCUGGAAACUAUUGAACUUGAGUGCAGGAGG